UUUCUGCUCAUCAUCUUGUCUUCCAUGAACGCUAUGUGCUUCUGACAAGAAGGCACAUAUAUGAAUUCAGCCAAUAUGCGUUGCACGCCUGUACCGCACUAGCUAGCCACGUCUAAACUUGUGCUCAGCUCACCAUCAUCACCAUCCCAGCAACACUGCCUCACUCUCUCAAUCGAGAGCCUAUAAAUACCACCCAUCUCACCACAAACGCUCACAUCCAUCUGAAGCCAUACUUGCAGAAGCCACUAGCUCACUACUAGUCGAUCAAUCUGUUGUUUCAGAAAGACGCCAUGAAGUACUUGGGGCAGGUGGUGGUGGCGCUCCUGGCCUUCUCGGCGGUGGUGCUGAUGGUGGCGCCGGCGGGCGCGGAGGCGGCGACCUGCAACGCGCUGCAGCUGACCCCGUGCGCGGGGGCCAUCAUCGGGAGCGCGGCGCCCACGGCGUCGUGCUGCAGCAAGAUGAAGGAGCAGCAGCCGUGCAUGUGCCAGUACGCGCGCGACCCCAACCUGAAGCAGUACGUCGACUCCCCCAACGGCAAGAAGGUCAUGGCCGCCUGCAAGGUGCCCGUGCCAUCAUGCUAGAUCGACGCAUAUAUGAUCGAUCCACACGAGAGAGCCCAGCGCGCACGCGCUCCUCUCUGGCCUCUCGCUGCAUGUUUCAUGUGUGUUGAUGUGUCAGUGUUUGCUUGUUUCCCAACACUGUCUAGCUACCCUGACGAUGUACGUGGACCGAUGUGUAUCUGAAUUUACGCAAUAAUGACGAUGUUUCCAGCUAUAUGCAAUUUGCAUGUUCUUCCUCGCGUGCAUAUUUUCAUGUGGCCUUCGUGGUAGUCAUCAAUAAACUACUCCCUCCAUUCCGAGAAUGGACGUUUGGCUCUCGGCCUCCAUGGAGGCCUUUUUUUAAAAUAAAAAUAAAGAUUCAAAAUUUUCGGUUUUAAAAAAAUCUGAAAAAUAUGUGGAAGUAAACAAGGAUGUUAUGUGUAUGUGUGUAAAAUUUUAGGAUCAAAACGUUGAAAUGCGGCCUGUACAAAAAAAAGAUAAAUUCAUGACCUAGGAGGAUCACUACCAGAAAAACUGGGGUUGCCGACGGCCAAAUCUAUGCCGACGGCCCCCGUCGGCAUCUAUGGACCUAUGCCGACGGCCCAGGAUAGGCCGUAGGCGUAGAAAAGCCAUCGGCAUACAUCCAUCUAUGCCGACGGGACCGCCCGAGGUACGCCUACGGGGCCCGUCGGCAUAGGAUCAGUCGUCGGCAUAUCGCGGGCCCACCUGCCCGGUCAGCGCUGACCAUUUGACGGUGUUGAUCCUACGCCGACGGGAGGUAACGGCGGCCGUCGGCAUAUCUGUGGCAGAGGUAUGCCUACGGCAUAGCCGUCGGCAUUGGCCCCUCUGCCACGUCAUCGAUCCGUCUACCACGCCACGUCAUCGAUCCGUGGGACAACCUCCGUGUGUGCACAGAUAUGCCGACGGCCUUGCCGUCGGCAUACGUUUAUUUUACUUAACUUUUUUAUUUUUACUUUGGUUAUCUAUGGCUGAGGUAUGCCUACAGCACAGCCGUCGGCAUAGGCCCCUUUGCCACGUCAUCGAUCUGUGUGCCACGCCACGUUAUCGAUCCGUGGGACAACCUCCGUGUGUGCACAGAUAUGCCGACGGCCUUGCCGUCGGCAUACGUGUAUUUUACUUUAUUUUUUUAUUUUUACUUUGUUUUGUUAUUUUUACUUUAUUUUAGUUUUUGUUUUUGCAUAAGAUAAUUAUGCCUUAUCUAAAAAAACAUACCCGAUGGUAUAUCGAUUGCCCCCCGUUACGAGCGUCGCUAUCGCCGUGUCACGGAGGGGGGAAACGGUCGACACGGAAGGAAUUCUGGUUGGUGGGGGGUGUAGCUAUGUCACCGAAAUAUCGCACGGGUCCCGAUGCAUAUGUGAAAGUGUUCAUGCAUGCGUAGACGCCCGUCUUGGGGCUCCGGGGUUUGGCCACAGUGUCCGGGGUGUGCCCCCCUCACGGACGGCGCUGCCGCCGGCACCUGGAGGGGGGAAACGGACGCGUGGGGUCUACACGGAGGGGAUCUUGUUGUGGGUCUGGCCCGGAUGUUCCUCCAAAGUGUUCCUAUGGGCUGACCUAACACAACCGGGUGAGGAGGUGUUGGAAAUAUGCUCUAGAGGCAAUAAUAAAAGUAUUAUUAUAUUUCAUUGUUCAUGAUAAUUGUCUUGUAUUCAUGCUAUAACUGUGUUAUCCGGAAAUCGUAAUACACGUGUGAAUACUUGGACCACACUCUGUCCUUGGUAAGCCUCUAGUUGACCAGCUCGUUGUGAUCAACAGAUAGUCAUGGUUUCCUGACUAUGGACAUUGGAUGUCGUUGAUAACGGGAUCACAUCAUUAGGAGAAUGAUGUGAUGGACAAGACCCAAUCCUAAGCAUAGCAUAAAAGAUCGUGUAGUUCGUUUUGCUAGAGCUUUGCAAGUGUCAAGUAUCUCUUCCUACGACCAUGAGAUCGUGUAACUCCCGGAUACCGUAAGAGUGCCUUGGGUGUACCAAACGUCACAACGUAACUGGGUGACUAUAAAGGUGCAUUACAGGUAUCUCCGAAAGUAGCUGUUGGGUUGACACGGAUCGAGACUGGGAUUUGUCACUCCGUAUGACGGAGAGGUAUCUCUGGGCCCACUCGGUAAUGCAUCAUCAUAAUGAGCUCAAUGUGACCAAGGUGUUGGACACGGGAUCAUGCAUUAUGGUACGAGUAAAGUGACUUGCCGGUAACGAGACUGAACAAGGUAUUGGGAUACCGACGAUCGAGUCUCGGGCAAGUAACGUACCGAUUGACAAAGGGAAUUGCAUACAGGGUUUGAUCGAAUCCUCGACAUAGUGGUUCAUCCGAUGACAACAUCGAGGAGCAUGUGGGAGCCAUCAUGGGUAUCCAGAUCCCGCUGAUGGUUAUUGACUGGGAGAGUCUCGGUCAUGUCUGCAUGUCUCCCGAACCCGUAGGGUCUACACACUUAAGGUUCAGUUACGCUAGGGUUAUAGGGAUAUGUAUAUGCAGUAACCCGAAUGUUGUUCGGAGUCCCGGAUGAGAUCCCGGACGUCACGAGGAGUUCCGGAAUGGUCCGGAGGUAAAGAUUUAUAUAUGGGAAGUCCUGUUUCGGGCAUCGGGACAAGUUUCGGGGUUAUCGGUAUUGUACCGGGACCACCGGAAGGGUCCCGGGGGUCCACCGGGUGGGUCCACCUGUCCCGGGGGGGCACAUGGGCUGUGGGGGGUGCGCCUUGGCCUAAUGGGCCAAGGGAACCAGCCCCACAUAGGCCCAUGCGCCUAGGGUUUAAGGGGGCAAGAGUCCUAGGAGGGUAAGGCACCUCCUAGGUGCCUUGGGGGGAGGGAAAACCCCCCUUGGCCGCCGCACCCCCUAGGAGAUUGGAUCUCCUAGGGCCGGCCACCCCCCCUUGGCACCCCUAUAUAUAGUGGGGGAGAGGAGGGACUUCAUACCUGAACACCCUGGCCUUUGGUUGCCUCCUUCUCCCUCCCCAACACCUCCUCCACCUCCAUAGUGCUUAGCGAAGCUCUGCCGGAGUACUGCAGCUCCAUCAACACCACGCCGUCGUGCUGCUGCUGGUGCCAUCUCCCUCAACCUCUCCUCCCUUCCUUGCUGGAUCAAGAAGGAGGAGACGUGGCUGUUCCGUACGUGUGUUGAACGCGGAGGUGCCGUCCGUUCGGCGCUGGUCAUCGGUGAUUUGGAUCACGUCGAGUACGACUACAUCAUCACCUUGCAAGCUUCCGCACGCGAUCUACAAGUGGUAUGUAGAUGCAAACUCUCUCCCUAGACUCGUUGCUUAGAUGAACUCAUAGAUGGAUCUUGGUGAAACCGUAGGAAAAAUUUUAAUUUUCUGCAACGUUCCCCAACAGUGGCAUCAUGAGCUAGGUCUAUGCGUAGUUCUCUUUGCACGAGUAGAACACAACUUCGUUGUGGGCGUGGAUUUUGUCAUCUUACUUGCCUCUACUAGUCUUUUCUUGCUCAACGGUAUUGUGGGAUGAAGCGGCCCGGACCAACCUUACACGUACUCUUACGUGAGACCGGUUCCACCGACUGACAUGCACAAGUUGCAUAAGGUGGCUGGCGGGUGUCUGUCUCUCCCACCUUAGUUGGAGCGGAAUCGAUGAACAGGGCCCUUAUGAAGGGUAAAUAGAAGUUGACAAAAUCACGUUGUGGUGAUUCGUAGGUAAGAAAACGUUCUUGCUAGAACCCAAUUGCAGCCACGUAAAAGAUGCAACAACAAUUAGAGGACGUCUAACCUGUUUUUGCAGCGAUUGAUCAUGUGAUGUGAUAUGGCCAGAAGUUGUGAUGAAUGAUGAAUUGUGAUGUAUGAGAUCAUGUUCUUUGUAAUAGGAUUCACGACUUGCAUGUCGAUGAGUAUGAAAACCGGCAGGAGCCAUAGGAGUUGUCAUUAUUUUUUGUAUGACCUGCGUGUCAUUGAAUAACGUCAUGUAAACUACUUUACUUUAUUGCUAAACGUUAGUCAUAGAAGUAGAAGUAGUCGUUGGCGUGACAACUUCAUGAAGACACGAUGAUGGAGAUCAUGAUGAUGGAGAUCAUGGUGUCAAGCCGGUGACAAGAUGAUCAUGGAGCCCCGAAGAUGAAGAUCAAUGGAGCUAUAUGAUAUUGGCCAUAUCAUGUCACAACUAUAUAAUUGCAUGUGAUGUUUAUUAUGUAUUAUGCAUCUUGUUUACUUAGGACGACGGUAGUAAAUAAGAUGAUCCCUUAUUAAAAAAAUUCAAGAAGUGUUCUCCCCUAACUGUGCACCGUUGCUACAGUUCGUCGUUUCUAAGCACCACGUGAUGAUCGGGUGUGAUGGAUUCUUACGUUCACAUACAACGGGUGUAAGACAGUUUUACACAGCGAAAACACUUAGGGUUAACUUGACGAGCCUAGCAUGUGCAGACAUGGCCUCGGAACAUGGAGACCGAAAGGUCGAACACGAGUCGUAUGGAAGAUACGAUCAACAUGAAAAUGUUCACCGACGAUGACUAGUCCGUCUCACGUGAUGAUCGGACACGGGCUAGUCGACUCGGAUCGUGUAACACUUAGAUGACUAAAGGGAUGUCUAAUCUAAGUGGGAGUUCAUAAUUUGAUUAGAACUUUAUUAUCAUGAACUUAGUCUAAAACCUUUGCAAAUAUGUCUUGUAGAUCAAUGGCCAACGCAAACGUCAACAUGAACUUCAACGCGUUCCUAGAGAAAACCAAGCUGAAAGAUGAUGGCAGCAACUAUACGGACUGGGUCCGGAACCUGAGGAUCAUCCUCAUAGCUGCCAGGAAACAAUAUGUCCUAGAAGGGCCGCUAGGUGACGCUCCCGUCCCAGAGAACCAAGACAUUAUGAAUGCUUGGCAGUCUCGCGCUGAUGAUUACUCCCUCGUUCAGUGCGGCAUGCUUUACAGCUUAGAACCGGGGCUCCAAAAGCGUUUUGAGCAUCACGGAGCAUAUGAGAUGUUCGAAGAGCUGAAACUAGUUUUUCAAGCUCAUGCCCGGGUCGAAAGAUAUGAUGUCUCCGACAAGUUCUACAGUUGUAAGAUGGAGGAAAACAGCUCUGUCAGUGAGCACAUCCUGAAGAUGUCUGGGUUGCACAACCGUAUGACCCAGCUGAACAUUAACCUCCCAGAUGAGGCGGUCAUUGACAGAAUCCUCCAGUCGCUCCCACCAAGCUACAAGAGCUUUGUGAUGAACUACAACAUGCAGGGAAUGGAAAAGACCAUUCCUGAAGUGUUCUCGAUGCUGAAGUCAGCAGAGGCUGAAAUCAAGAAAGAACAUCAAGUGUUGAUGGUCAAUAAGACCACUAAGUUCAAGAAGGGCAAGGGUAAGAAGAACUUCAAGAAGGACGGCAAAGAUGUUGCCGCGCCUGGUAAGCCAGUUACCGGGAAGAAGUCAAAGAAUGGACCCAAGCCUGAGACUGAGUGCUUUUAUUGCAAGGGGAAGGGUCACUGGAAGCGGAACUGCCCCAAAUACUUAGCGGAUAAGAAGGCCGGCAACACCAAAGGUAUAUUUGAUAUACAUGUGAUUGAUGUGUACCUUACCAGUAAUCGUGGUAACUCCUGGGUAUUUGAUACCGGUGCCGUUGCUCAUAUUUGUAACUCACAGCAGGAGCUGUGGAAUAAACGGAGACUGGCAAAGGACGAGGUGACGAUGCGCGUCGGGAAUGGUUCCAAAGUCGAUGUGAUCGCCGUCGGCACGCUGCCUCUACAUUUACCUACGGGAUUAGUUUUGAACCUCAAUAAUUGUUAUUUAGUGCCAAGUUUGAGCAUGAACAUUGUAUCUGGAUCUCGUUUAAUACGAGAUGGCUACUCAUUUAAGUCUGAGAAUAAUGGUUGUUCGAUUUAUAUGAGAGAUAUGUUUUAUGGUCAUGCUCCGAUGGUCAAUGGUUUAUUCUUAAUGAAUCUCGAGCGUAAUAUUACACAUGUUCAUAGUGUAGAUGCCAAAAGAUUUAAAGUUGAUAACGAUAGUCCCACAUACUUGUGGCACUGCCGCCUUGGUCACAUUGGUGUCAAGCGCAUGAAGAAGCUCCAUGCUGAUGGACUUUUAGAGUCUCUUGAUUAUGAAUCGUUUGACAAGUGCGAACCCUGCCUCUUAGGUAAAAUGACCAAGACUCCGUUCUCCGGAACAAUGGAGCGAGCAACCAACUUGUUGGAAAUCAUACAUACCGAUGUGUGCGGUCCAAUGAGCGUUGAGGCUCGCGGAGGAUAUGUUAUGUUCUCACUCUCACAGAUGACUUGAGUAGAUAUGGGUAUGUCUACUUAAUGAAACACAAGUCUGAGACCUUUGAAAAGUUCAAGGAAUUUCAGAAUGAGGUGGAGAAUCAACGUGACCGAAAGAUAAAAUUCUUACGAUCAGAUCGUGGAGGAGAAUACUUAAGUCACGAAUUUGGUACACACUUAAAGAAAUGUGGAAUCGUUUCACAGCUCACGCCGCCUGGAACACCUCAGCGAAACGGUGUGUCCGAACGUCGUAAUCGCACUCUAUUGGAUAUGGUGCGGUCUAUGAUGUCUCUUACCGAUUUACCGCUAUCAUUUUGGGGAUACGCUCUAGAGACAGCUACAUUCACUUUAAAUAGGGCACCGUCUAAAUCCGUUGAGACGACACCGUAUGAAUUAUGGUUUGGAAAGAAACCUAAGCUGUCGUUUCUAAAAGUUUGGGGAUGCGAAGCUUAUGUCAAGAAACUUCAACCUGAAAAGCUCGAACCCAAGUCGGAAAAAUGUGUAUUCAUAGGAUACCCUAAGGAAACUAUAGGGUAUACCUUCUACUUAAGAUCCGAAGGCAAGAUCUUUGUUGCCAAGAACGGAUGCUUUCUGGAAAAAGAGUUUCUCUCGAAAGAAGUAAGUGGGAGGAAAGUGGAACUCGAUGAAGUACUACCUCUUGAGCGGGAUAUUGACGCAGCACAGGAAACCGUUCCUGUGAUGCCCACACCAACUGAAGAGGAAAACCAUGAUAAUGAUCAAGGUACUUCGGAUCAAGUUACUGCUGAACUUCGUAGGUCCACAAGGACACGUUCCGCACCAGAGUGGUACGGCAACCCUGUCCUGGAAAUCAUGUUGUUAGACAACAAUGAACCUUCGAACUAUGAAGAAGCAAUGGCGGGCCCGGAUUCCAACAAAUGGCUUGAAGCCAUGAAAUCCGAGAUAGAAUCCAUGUAUGAAAACAAAGUAUGGACUUUGACAGACUUGCCCGAUGAUCGGCGAGCGAUAGAAAACAAAUGGAUCUUUAAGAAGAAGACGGACGCGGAUGGUAAUGUUACCAUCUAUAAAGCUCGACUUGUCGCUAAGGGUUAUCGACAGGUUCAAGGGAUUGACUACGACGAGACAUUCUCUCCCGUAGCGAAGCUAAAGUCCGUCCGAAUCAUGUUAGAAAUUGCCGCAUACUAUGAUUAUGAGAUAUGGCAGAUGGACAUCAAAACAGCAUUCCUUAACGAGCAUCUUAAGGAAGAACUGUAUAUGAUGCAGCCGGAAGGUUUUGUCGAUCCUCGGAACGCUAACAAAGUAUGCAAGCUCCAGCGAUCCAUUUAUGGACUGGUGCAAGCAUCUCGGAGUUGGAACAUUCGCUUUGAUGAGAUGAUCAAAGCGUUUGGGUUUAUGCAGACUUAUGGAGAAGCCUGCGUUUACAAGAAAGUGAGUGGGAGCUCUGUAGCAUUUCUCAUAUUAUAUGUAGAUGACAUACUCCUGAUGGGAAAUAAUAUAGAAUUUCUGGACAGCAUUAAGGCCUACUUGAAUAAGUGUUUUUCAAUGAAGGACCUUGGAGAAGCUGCUUAUAUAUUAGGCAUCAAGAUCUAUAGAGAUAGAUCGAGACGCCUCAUAGGUCUUUCACAAAGCACAUACCUUGAUAAGAUUUUGAAGAGAUUCAGAAUGGAUCAGUCCAAGAAGGGGUUCUUGCCUAUGUUACAAGGUAUGAGACUGAGCUCAGCUCAGUCACCGACGACGGCAAAAGAUAAAGAAGAGAUGAGUGUCAUCCCCUAUGCUUCAGCCAUAGGAUCUAUUAUGUAUGCCAUGCUGUGUACCAGACCCGAUGUAAACCUUGCCGUAAGUUUGGUAGCAAGAUACCAAAGUAAUCCCGGCAAGGAACACUGGACAGCGGUCAAGAAUAUCCUGAAGUACCUGAAAAGGACAAAGGACAUGUUUCUCGUUUAUGGAGGAGACGAAGAGCUCGUCGUAAAGGGUUACGUCGACGCUAGCUUCGACUCAGAUCUGGAUGACUCUAAGUCACAAACCGGAUACGUGUAUAUGUUGAAUGGUGGAGCAGUAAGCUGGUGCAGCUGCAAGCAGAGCGUCGUGGCGGGAUCUACGUGUGAAGCGGAGUACAUGGCAGCCUCGGAGGCAGCACAUGAAGUGAUUUGGGUGAAGGAGUUCAUCACCGACCUAGGAGUCAUACCCAAUGCGUCGGGGCCGAUCAAACUCUUCUGUGACAACACUGGAGCUAUUGCCCUCGCAAAGGAGCCCAGGUUUCACAAGAAGACCAGGCACAUCAAGCGUCGUUUCAACUCCAUCCGUGAAAAUGUUCAAGAAUGGAGACAUAGAGAUUUGCAAAGUGCACACGGAUCUGAAUGUCGCAGAUCCGCUGACUAAACCUCUCUCGCGUGCAAAACAUGAUCAACACCAGAACUCUAUGGGUGUUCGAUUCAUCACAAUGUAACUAGAUUGGUGACUCUAGUGCAAGUGGGAGACUGUUGGAAAUAUGCCCUAGAGGCAAUAAUAAAAGUAUUAUUAUAUUUCAUUGUUCAUGAUAAUUGUCUUGUAUUCAUGCUAUAACUGUGUUAUCCGGAAAUCGUAAUACACGUGUGAAUACUUGGACCACACUAUGUCCCUGGUAAGCCUCUAGUUGACCAGCUCGUUGUGAUCAACAGAUAGUCAUGGUUUCCUGACUAUGGACAUUGGAUGUCGUUGAUAACGGGAUCACAUCAUUAGGAGAAUGAUGUGAUGGACAAGACCCAAUCCUAAGCAUAGCAUAAAAGAUCGUGUAGUUCAUUUUGCUAGAGCUUUGCAAGUGUCAAGUAUCUCUUCCUACGACCAUGAGAUCGUGUAACUCCCGGAUACCGUAAGAGUGCCUUGGGUGUACCAAACGUCACAACGUAACUGGGUGACUAUAAAGGUGCAUUACAGGUAUCUCCGAAAGUAGCUGUUGGGUUGACACGGAUCGAGACUGGGAUUUGUCACUCCGUAUGACGGAGAGGUAUCUCUGGGCCCACUCGGUAAUGCAUCAUCAUAAUGAGCUCAAUGUGACCAAGGUGUUGGACACGGGAUCAUGCAUUACGGUACGAGUAAAGUGACUUGCCGGUAACGAGACUGAACAAGGUAUUGGGAUACCGACGAUCGAGUCUCGGGCAAGUAACGUACCGAUUGACAAAGGGAAUUGCAUACAGGGUUUGAUCGAAUCCUCGACAUAGUGGUUCAUCCGAUGACAACAUCGAGGAGCAUGUGGGAGCCAUCAUGGGUAUCCAGAUCCCGCUGAUGGUUAUUGACUGGGAGAGUCUCGGUCAUGUCUGCAUGUCUCCCGAACCCGUAGGGUCUACACACUUAAGGUUCAGUUACGCUAGGGUUAUAGGGAUAUGUAUAUGCAGUAACCCGAAUGUUGUUCGGAGUCCCGGAUGAGAUCCCGGACGUCACGAGGAGUUCCGGAAUGGUCCGGAGGUAAAUAUUUAUAUAUGGGAAGUCCUGUUUCGGGCAUCGGGACAAGUUUCGGGGUUAUCGGUAUUGUACCGGGACCACCGGAAGGGUCCCGGGGGUCCACCGGGUGGGUCCACCUGUCCCGGGGGGCCACAUGGGCUGUGGGGGGUGCGCCUUGGCCUAAUGGGCCAAGGGCACCAGCCCCACAUAGGCCCAUGCGCCUAGGGUUUAAGGGGGCAAGAGUCCUAGGAGGGUAAGGCACCUCCUAGGUGCCUUGGGGGGAGGGAAAACCCCCCUUGGCCGCCGCACCCCCUAGGAGAUUGGAUCUCCUAGGGCUGGCCACCCCCCCUUGGCACCCCUAUAUAUAGUGGGGGAGAGGAGGGACUUCAUACCUGAACGCCCUGGCCUUUGGUUGCCUCCUUCUCCCUCCCCAACACCUCCUCCACCUCCAUAGUGCUUAGCGAAGCUCUGCCGGAGUACUGCAGCUCCAUCAACACCACGCCGUCGUGCUGCUGCUGGUGCCAUCUCCCUCAACCUCUCCUCCCUUCCUUGCUGGAUCAAGAAGGAGGAGACGUGGCUGUUCCGUACGUGUGUUGAACGCGGAGGUGCCGUCCGUUCGGCGCUGGUCAUCGGUGAUUUGGAUCACGUCGAGUACGACUACAUCAUCACCUUGCAAGCUUCCGCACGCGAUCUACAAGUGGUAUGUAGAUGCAAACUCUCUCCCUAGACUCGUUGCUUAGAUGAACUCAUAGAUGGAUCUUGGUGAAACCGUAGGAAAAAUUUUAAUUUUCUGCAACGUUCCCCAACAGGAGGUCCACUGGUCAAAGCCCAUCUGUGCAAAGUCAAAGGGCUAGAUCCCGUGGUCAAACGCUAGAGGAUUAGGCGGGACGGGGGCACUGGGGGUAGCAAUGCCACCGCAGCGUCGCACCGGGCCCUCAUACAUGCGGGGUGGUGUGGUGGCAUGUCCGAAGAGGCGGGACGCGUCUCCGGGGCGUGGCCCCCCCUCAUGGACGGCGAUGACACGGUAGUAGACGUUCUGCGUUAACGAUGCCGCGUCAAUAUUACUAAAUACUCGGAGCGCGAUAAAAUCAUGAGUUUUUUUGCACGACGUGGGCACAUGUGCUAUAGGAAUGGUGGUAUUUUUUCAUAAUUUUUGGUGAUGGAGAAGUAUCCGAAAAAUUCCCUCUACGCGGAUUGCCCUUCGCGCGUCUAUGGCUGUGGCCGGCGGCCUCCGGGGGCUAGCAUGCCGCCAAAUCUUGCGUAGGCGGCCUCUCACAAGUUUGGAAGUGUUGUGGCGGUUGCAAACGCCCGGCACGCGUGUCCGGGGUGUGCCCCCCUCACGGACGGCGCCGCCACCGGCACCUGGAGGGGGGAAACGGACGCGUGGGGUCUACACGGAGGGGAUCUUGCUGUGGGCCUGCCCGGAUGUUGCUCCAAAGUGUUCCUAUGGGCUGAGCUAACACAACCGGGUGGGGAGGUCCACCGAUCAAAGCCCGUCCGUGCAAAGUCAAAGGGCUAGAUCCCGUGGUCAAACGCUACAGGGUUAGGCGGGACGGGGGCACUGGGGGGGUUGCAAUGCCACCGGAGCAUCGCACCGGGCCCUCAUACAUGCGGGAUGGUGCGGUGGCAUGUCCGAAGAGGCGGGACGCGUCUCCGGGGAGUGGCCCCCCCUCACGGACGGCGAUGACACGGUAGUAGACGUUGUGCGGUAACGAUGCGGCGUCAAUAUUACUAAAUACUCGGAGCGCGAUAAAAUCAUGAGUUUUUUUGCACGACGUGGGCACAUGUGCUAUAGGAACGAUGGUAUUUUUUCAUAAUUUUUGGUGAUGGAUAAGUAUCCGAAAAAUUCCCUCUACGCGGAUUGCCCUUCGCGCGUCUACGGCUGUGGCCGGCGGCCUCCGGGGGCUAGCAUGCCGCCAAAUCUUGCGUAGGCCGCCUCUCACAAGUCUGGAAGUGUUGUGGCGGUUGCAAACGCCCGGCACGCGUGUCCGGGGUGUGCCCCCCUCACGGACGGCGCCGCCGCCGGCACCUGGAGGGGGGAAACGGACGCGUGGGGUCUACACGGAGGGGAUCUUGCUGUGGGCCUGGCCCGGAUGUUGCUCCAAAGUGUUCCUAUGGGCUGAGCUAACACAACCGGGUGGGGAGGUCCACUGGUCAAAGCCCGUCCGUGCAAAGUCAAAGGGCUAGAUCCCGUGGUCAAACGCUACAGGGUUAGGCGGGACGGGGGCACUAGGGGUAGCAAUGCCACCGGAGCGUCGCACCGGGCCCUCAUACAUACGGGGUGGUGUGGUGGCAUGUACGAAGAGGCGGGACGCAUCUCCGGGGCGUAGCCCCCCCUCACGGACGGCGAUGACACGAUAGUAGACGUUGUGCGGUAACGAUGCGGCGUCAAUAUUACUAAAUACUCGGAGCGUGAUAAAAUCAUGAGUUUUUUUGCACGACGUGGGCACAUGUGCUAUAGGAACGAUGGUAUUUUUUCAUAAUUUUUGGUGAUGGAGAAGUAUCCAAAAAAUUCCCUCUACGCGGAUUGCCCUUCGCGCGUCUACGGCUGUGGCCGGCGGCCUCCGGAGGCUAGCAUGCCGCCAAAUCUUGCGUAGGCGGCCUCUCACAAGUCUGGAAGUGUUGUGGCGGUUGCAAACGCCCGGCACGCGUGUCCGGGGUGUGCCCCACUCACGGACGGCGCCGCUGCCGGCACCUGGAGGGGGAAACGGACGCGUGGGGUCUACACGGAGGGGAUCUUGCUGUGGGUCUGGCCCGGAUGUUGCUCCAAAGUGUUCCUAUGGGCUGACCUAACACAACCGGGUGGGGAGGUCCACUGAUCCCGUGGUCAAACGCUAUAGGGUUAAGCGGGACGGGGGCACUGGGGGGUAGCAAUGCCACCGAAGCGUCGCACCGGGCCCUCAUACAUGCGGGGUGGUGUGGUGGCAUGUCCAAAGAGGCGGGUCGCGUCUCCGGGGCGUGGGCCCCCCUCACGGACGGCGAUGACACGGUAGUAGACGUUUUGUGGUAACGAUGCGGCGCCAAUAUUACUAAAUACUCGGAGCGCGAUAAAAUCAUGAGUUUUUUUUUGCACGACAUGGGCACAUGUGCUAUAGGAACGAUGGUAUUUUUUCAUAAUUUUUGGUGAUGGAGAAGUAUCCAAAAAAUUCCCUCUACGCGGAUUGCCCUUCGCGCGUCUACGGCUGUGGCCGGCGGCCUCCGGGGGCUAGCCUGCCGCCAAAUCUUGCGUAGGCGGCCUCUCACAAGUCUGGAAGUGUUGUGGCGGUUGCAAACGCCCGGCACGCGUGUCCGGGGUGUGCCUCCCUCAUGGACGGCGCCGCCGCCGGCAUCUGGAGGGCGGAAACGGACGCAUGGGGUCUACACGGAGGGGAUCUUGCUGUGGGUCUGGCCCGAAUGUUGCUCCAAAGUGUUCCUAUGGGCUGACCUAACACAACCGGGUGGGGGGUCCACUGGUCAAAGCCCGUCCGUGCAAAGUCAAAGGGCUAGAUCCCGUGGUCAAACGCUACAGGGUUAGGCGAGACGGGGGCACCGGGGAGGGGGUAGCAAUGCCACUGGAGCAUCGCACCGGGCCCUCAUACAUGCGGGGUGGUGUGGUGGCAUGUCCAAAGAGGCGGGAUGCGUCUCCGGGGCGUGGCCCCCCCUCACAAACGGCGAUGACACGGUAGUAGACGUUGUGCGAUAACGAUUUGGCGUCAAUAUUACUAUAUACUCGGAGCGCGAUAAAAUCAUGAGUUUUUUUGCACGACGUGGGCACAUGUGCUAUAGGAACGAUGGUAUAUUUUCAUAAUUUUUGGUGAUGGAGAAGUAUCCGAAAAAUUCCGUCUACGGGGAUUGCCCUUCGCGCGUCUACGGCUGUGGCCGGCGGCCUCCGGGGGCUAGCAUGCCGCCAAAUCUUGCGUAGGCGGCCUCUGGGGGCUAGCAUGCCGCCAAAUCUUGCGUAGGCGGCCUCUCACAAGCCUGGAAGUGUUGUGGUGGUUGCAAAUGCCUGGCACGCGUGUCCGGGGUGUGCCCCCCUCACGGACGGCGCCGCCGCCGGCACCUUGAGGGGGGAAACGGACGCAUGGGGUCUACACGGAGGGGAUCUUGUGGUGGGUCUGGCCCGGAUGUUGCUCCAAAGUGUUUCUAUGGGCUGACCUAACACAACCGGGUGGGGAGGUCCACUGGUCAAAGCCCGUCCGUGCAAAGUCAAAGGGCUAGAUCCCGUUGUCAAACGCUACAGGGUUAGGCGGGACGGGGGCACUGGGGGGUAGCAAUGCCACCGGAGCAUCGCACCGGGCCCUCAUACAUGCGGGGUGGUGUGGUGGCAUGUCCGAAGAGGCGGGACGCGUCUCCGAGGCGUGGCCCCCCCUCACGGACGACGAUGACACGGUAAUAGAUGUUUUGCGGUAACGAUGCGGUGCCAAUAUUACGAAAUACUCGGAGCGCGAUAAAAUGAUGAGCUUUUUUGCACGACAUGGGCACAUGUGCUAUAGGAACGAUGGUAUUUUUUCAUAAUUUUUGGUAAUGGAUAAGUAUCCGAAAAAUUUCCUCUACGCGGAUUGCCCUUCGCGCGUCUACGGCUGUGGCCGGUGGCCUCCGGGGGCUAGCAUGCCGCCAAAUCUUGCGUAGGCGGCCUCUCACAAGUCUGGAAGUGUUGUGGCGGUUGCAAACACCCGGCACGCGUGUCCGGGGUGUGCCCCCCUCACGGACGGCGCCGCCGCCUGCACCUGGAGGAGGGAAACAGACGCGUCGGGUCUACACGGAGGGGAUCUUGCUGUGGGUCUGGCCCGGAUGUUGCUCCAAAGUGUUCCUAUGGGCUGACCUAACACAACCAGGUGGGGAGGUCCACUGGUCAAAGCCCGUCCGUGCAAAGUCAAAGGGCUAGAUCCCGUGGUCAAACGCUACAGGGUUAGGCGAGAAGGGGGCACUUGGGGGGUAGCAAUGCCACCGGAGGAUCGCACCGGGCCCUCAUACAUGCGGGGUGGUGUGGUGGCAUGUCCGAAGAGGCGGGACGCGUCUCUGGGGCAUGGCCCCCCCUCACGGACGGCGAUGACACGGUAAUAGACGUUGUGCGGCAACGAUGCGGCGUCAAUAUUACUAAAUACUCGGAGCGCGAUAAAAUCAUGAGUUUUUUUGCACGACAUGGGCACAUGUGCUAUAGGAACGAUGGUAUUUUUUCAUAAUUUUUGGUGAUGGAGAAGUAUCCAAAAAAUUCCCUCUACGCGGAUUGCCCUUCGCGCGUCUACGGUUGUGGCCAGCGGCCUCCGGGGGCUACCGUGCCGCCAAAUCUUGAGUAGGCGGCCUCUCACAAGUCUGGAAGUGUUGUGGCGGAUGCAAACGCCCGACACGCGUGCCCGGGGUGUGCCCCCUCACGGACGGCGCCGCCACCGGCACCUGGAGGGGGGAAACGGACGCGUCGGGUCUACACGGAGGGGAUCUUGCUGUGGGUCUGGCCCGGAUGUUGCUCCAAAGUGUUCCUAUGGGCUGACCUAACACAACCGGGUUGGGAGGUCCACUGGUCAAAGCCCGUCCAUGCAAAGUCAAAGGGCUAGAUCCUGUGGUCAAACGCUACAGGGUUAGGCGGGACGGGGGCACUAGGGGGGUAGCAAUGCCACCGCAGUGUCGCACCGGGCCCUCAUACAUGCGGGGUGGUGUGGUGGCAUGUCCGAAGAGGCGGGACGGUUCUCCGGGGCGUGGCCCCCCCUCACGGACGGCGAUGACACGAUAGUAGACGUUCUGCGGUAACGAUGCGGCGUCAAUAUUACUAAAUACUCGAAGCGCAAUAAAAUCAUGAGUUUUUUUGCACGAGUGGGCACAUGUGCUAUAGGAACGAUGGUAUUUUUUCAUAAUUUUUGGUGAUGGAGAAGUAUCCGAAAAAUUCCCUCUACGCGGAUUGCCCUUCGCGCGUCUACGGCUGUGGCCGGCGGCCUCCGGGGGCUAGCAUGCCGCCAAAUCUUGCAUAGGCGGCCUCUCACAAGUCUGGAAGUGUUGUGGCGGUUGCAAACGCCCGACACGCGUGUCCGGGGUGUGCCCCCCUCACGGACGGCGUCGCCGCCGGCACCUGGAGGGGGGAAACGGACGCGUGGGGUCUACACGGAGGGGAUCUUGCUGUGGGUCUGGCCCGGAUGUUGCUCCAAAGUGUUCCUAUGGGCUGACCUAACACAACCGGGUGGGGAGGUCCACUGGUCAAAGCUCGUCCGUCCAAAGUCAAAGGGCUAGAUCCCGUGGUCAAACGCUACAGGGCUAGGCGGGACGGGGGCACUGGGGGGUAGCAAUGCCACCGGAGCGUCGCACCGGGCCCUCAUACAUACGGGGUGGUGUGGUGGCAUGUCCGAAGAGGCGGGACGCGUCUCCGGGGCGUGGCCCCCCCUCACGGACGGUGAUGACACGGUAGUAGACGUUCUGCGGUAAUGAUGCGGCGUCAAUAUUACUAAAUACUCGGAGCGCGAUAAAAUAAUGAGUUUUUUUGCAUGACGCGGGCACAUGUGCUAUAGGAACGAUGGUAUUUUUUCAUAAUUUUUGGUGAUGGAAAAGUAUCCGAAAAAUUCCCUCUACGCGGAUUGCCCUUCGCGCGUCUACGGCUGUGGCCGGCGGCCUCCGGGGGCUAGCAUGCCGCCAAAUCUUGCAUAGGCGGCCUCUCACAAGUCUGGAAGUGUUGUGGCGGUUGCAAACGCCCGACACGCGUGUCCGGGGUGUGCCCCCCUCACGGACGGCAUCGCCGCCGGCACCUGGAGGGGGGAAACGGACGCGUGGGGUCUACACGGAGGGGAUCUUGCUGUGGGUCUGGCCCGGAUGUUGCUCCAAAGUGUUCCUAUGGGCUGACCUAACACAACCGGGUGGGGAGGUCCACUGGUCAAAGCUCGUCCGUCCAAAGUCAAAGGGCUAGAUCCCGUGGUCAAACGCUACAGGGCUAGGCGGGACGGGGGCACUGGGGGGUAGCAAUGCCACCGGAGCGUCGCACCGGGCCCUCAUACAUGCGGGGUGGUGUGGUGGCAUGUCCGAAGAGGCGGGACGCGUCUCCGGGGCGUGGCCCCCCCUCACGGACGGCGAUGACACGGUAGUAGACGUUCUGCGGUAAUGAUGCGGCGUCAAUAUUACUAAAUACUCGGAGCGCGAUAAAAUAAUGAGUUUUUUUGCAUGACGCGGGCACAUGUGCUAUAGGAACGAUGGUAUUUUUUCAUAAUUUUUGGUGAUGGAAAAGUAUCCGAAAAAUUCCCUCUACGCGGAUUGCCCUUCGCGCGUCUACGGCUGUGGCCGGCGGCCUCCGGGGGCUAGCCUGCCACCAAAUCUUGCGUAGGCGGCCUCUCACAAGUCUGGAAGUCUUGUGGUGGUUGCAAACGACCGGCACGCGUGUUCGGGUUGUGCCCCCCUCACGGACGGCGCCGCCGCCGGCACCUGGAGGGGGGAAACGGACGCGUGGGGUCUACACGGAGGGGAUCUUGCUAUGGGUCUGGCCCGGAUGUUGCUCCAAAGUGCUCCUAUGAGCUGAGCUAACACAACCGGGUGGGGAGGUCCACUGGUCAAAGCCCGUCCGUGAAAAGUCAAAGGGCUAGAUCCCGUGGUCAAAUGCUACAGGGUUAGGUGGGACGGGGGCACUGGGAGGGUAGCAAUGCCACCGGAGCGUCGCACCGGGCCCUCAUACAUGCGGGGUGGUGUGGUGGCAUGUCCGAAGAGGCGGGACGCGUCUCCGGGGCGUGCCCCCCCUCACGGACGGCGAUGACACGGUAGUAGACGUUCUGCGGUAACGAUGCGGCGUCAAUAUUACUAAAUACUCGGAGCGCGAUAAAAUCAUGGGUUUUUUUGCACGACGUGGGCACAUGUGCUAUAGGAACGAUGGUAUUUUUUCAUAAUUUUUGGUGAUGGAGAAGUAGACGAAAAAUUCCCUCUACGCGGAUUGCCCUUCGCGCGUCUACGGCUGUGGCCGGCGGCCUCCGGGGGCUAGCAUGCCGCCAAAUCUUGCGUAGGCGGCCUCUCACAAGUCUGGAAGUGUUGUGGCGGUUGCAAACGCCCGGCACGCAUGUCCGGGGUGUGCCCCCCUCACGGACGGCGCCGCCGCCGGCAUCUGGAGGGGGGAAAUGAACGCGUGGGGUCUACACGGAGGGGAUCUUGCUGUGGGUCUGGCCCGGAUGUUGCUCCAAAGUGUUCCUAUGGGCUGAGCUAACACAACCGGGUGGGGAGGUCCACUGAUCAAAGCCCGUCCGUGCAAAGUCAAAGGGCUAGAUCCCGUGGUCAAACGCUACAGGGUUAGGCGGGACGGGGGCAGUGGGGGGGUUGCAAUGCCACCGGAGCAUCGCACCGGGCCCUCAUACAUGCGGGAUGGUGCGGUGGCAUGUCCGAAGAGGCGGGACGCGUCUCCGGGGAGUGGCCCCCCCUCACGGACGGCGAUGACACGGUAGUAGACGUUGUGCGGUAACGAUGCGGCGUCAAUAUUACUAAAUACUCGGAGCGCGAUAAAAUCAUGAGUUUUUUUGCACGACGUGGGCACAUGUGCUAUAGGAACGAUGGUAUUUUUUCAUAAUUUUUGGUGAUGGAGAAGUAUCCGAAAAAUUCCCUCUACGCGGAUUGCCCUUCGCGCGUCUACGGCUGUGGCCGGCGGCCUCCGGGGGCUAGCAUGCCGCCAAAUCUUGCGUAGGCGGCCUCUCACAAGUCUGGAAGUGUUGUGGCGGAUGCAAACGCCCGGCACGCGUGUCCGGGGUGUGCCCCCCUCACGAACGGCGCCGCCGCCGGCACCUGGAGGGGGGAAACGGACGCGUGGGGUCUACACGGAGGGGAUCUUGCUGUGGGCCUGGCCCGGAUGUUGCUCCAAAGUGUUCCUAUGGGCUGAGCUAACACAACUGGGUGGGGAGGUCCACUGGUCAAAGCCCGUCCGUGCAAAGUCAAAGGGCUAGAUCAUGUGGUUAAACGCUACAGGGUUAGGCGGGACGGGGGCACUAGGGGUAGCAUUGCCACCGGAGCGUCGCACCGGGCCCUCAUACAUGCGGGGUGGUGUGGUGGCAUGUCCGAAGAGGCGGGACGCGUCUCCGGGGCGUGGCCCCCCCUCACGGACAACGAUGUCACGGUAGUAGACGUUCUGCGGUAAUGAUGCGGCGUCAAUAUUACUAAAUACUCGAAGCGCGAUAAAAUCAUGAGUUUUUUUUUGCACGAGUGGGCACAUGUGCUAUAGGAAUGGUAUUUUUUCAUAAUUUUUUGUGAUGGAGAAGUAUCCGAAAAAUUCCCUCUACGCGGAUUGCCCUUCGCGCGUCUACGGCUGUGGCCGGCGGCCUCCGGAGGCUAGCAUGCCGCCAAAUCUUGUGUAGGCGGCCUCUCACAAGUCUGCAAGUGUUGUGGCGGUUGCAAACGCCCGACACGCGUGUCCGGGGUGUGCCCCCCUCACGGACGGCGCCGCCGCCGGCACCUGGAGGGGGGAAACGGACGCGUGGAGUCUACACGGAGGGGAUCUUGCUGUGGGUCUGGCCCGGAUGUUGCUCCAAAGUGUUCCUAUGGGCUGACCUAACACAACCGGGUGGGGAGGUCCACUGGUCAAAGCCCGUCCGUGCAAAGUCAAAGGGCUUGAUCCCGUGGUCAAACUCUAUAGGGUUAGGCGGGACGGGGGCACUGGGGGGUAGCAAUGCCACCGGAGCGUCGCACCGGGCCCUCUUACAUGCGGGGUGGUGUGGUGGCAUGUCCAAAGAGGUUCAUGCUUGGUUCAUGGAGAAAGUAAUUUUCCACACUCCCCUAUUAAAUACCUACUUCAAAAUUUAUUAGUUAACCGAACUAAUGCACGCAACAAUUUCCAUUAUACCUGUAGGGAAAAGAUCCGAACAUAUCUAUGGAUGAUGAAUUGAGAUGGGUUUCCAUGGGUUUUGACCCUACCGUCAUGACACGUAAAAAGUAUGAUGUGAAUGGGUAUCACUUCCAUAUAGAGGAGCACCAAAACAGCCGCCCCGAUCCCAGAACUAUAAAUACUGGAGUGUACACCCCCGAUCAAAAUUCAGUAGACUACUACGGAAGGGUACAAAAUAUAUACGAGGUUAAAUUCCGCCAGGGGCGUGAGACCCUAAGUCUGCCUGUGUUCAAAUGCCGAUGGUUCGAUCCGCGGGAGGGGGUAAAACAUACGCCUUCCAUUGGUUUCGUCGAAGUUAAACCAUCAAGCGUCUAUGCCGGAGCCGAUCUCUUCAUUGCGGCUACCCAAGCUACACAAGUAUAUUAUCUGCCUUACCCAUGCCAGAAAGUGUAUCUAAAGGGUUGGGAAGUUGUGUUCAAGGUGUCGCCACAUGGUAAGCUACCAGACCCGAAUGAAGACAAUUACUACAAUAUUAACCCCAUGACAUACGAGGGAGUGUUCUAUCAAGAGCAACCUGAUGAUGAUGAUGAUGAUGUGGUUAGAAACGAUGACGCUAGACCAUUGGGUGAUGAUGAUGUGGACCCAAGCAUCGACGAUGCACGGAAUGAUGGUGAGACCAUUGUCAAUGAAAAUGACAUACUUAUGCUAGAAAAGUUAAACGAAGACGCUGACAACGAGGAAGAGCCUCCACCUUCGUCGGACAACGAAGAUGAUAUGAUUGAUAGUGAUGAUGAGACAGACCGAGAAAGAGGUUACAACAGUGAUGAUUCAUAUGGGUUCUAGCAGAUGUACGUUUCAAGUCUUUUUUCUAUAGUUUAGGAAUAUGCCUUUUUAUUCAUUUUUAUUAAUGUGCUUAUUAUCAUGCCUUUUUCUUCAGUUCAUUAAUUUACUAAUUUCUUUUUCUCUUUUCAAUGCAGGUUCGUGGAACAUGGGCAAGGGGAAGGCCGACGGCGUGGGUUUCCUACGCAAGGUCGUCGGCCUGCCUAGUCGGAGUGGUCGAGCACGUAAUCCUCCCCCUCGGCUACUUGAUGAUGACUCCUCAUAGGGAGGUCGAGGGAGAGGUGCCCCUAGAGGAGGAUGGGGCGGGGGGAGAGCCUCUAGAGGACGAGGUGCUGGGGGGAGAGCCACUACAGGGGGUCGCGGCCAGAAAGAGUGCACCCUCACCGACUUAGGGGUGUUGUCUUCGAGGCCCUCCUCUAGUGAGGUACCCUCCUCUAGUGAGGUACACUCUAGGGAGGAGGAGNNNNNNNNNNNNNNNNNNNNNNNNNNNNNNNNNNNNNNNNNNNNNNNNNNNNNNNNNNNNNNNNNNNNNNNNNNNNNNNNNNNNNNNNNNNNNNNNNNNNNNNNNNNNNNNNNNNNNNNNNNNNNNNNNNNNNNNNNNNNNNNNNNNNNNNNNNNNNNNNNNNNNNNNNNNNNNNNNNNNNNNNNNNNNNNNNNNNNNNNNNNNNNNNNNNNNNNNNNNNNNNNNNNNNNNNNNNNNNNNNNNNNNNNNNNNNNNNNNNNNNNNNNNNNNNNNNNNNNNNNNNNNNNNNNNNNNNNNNNNNNNNNNNNNNNGGAGGAGGAGGUGGAGGAGGAGGCAGGCGAGGAGGAGGAGGAGGAGGAGGAGGUUGGGGAGGGGGAGGCAGGCGAGGAGGGGGUGGUGGCGGGGAUGAUGGUGGUGACGGGAAGGGGGUUGACAACAAGGGGUGGCUGCGUGGCAACACAAAGCUACCAAAGCAGGUUCCUGCUACUGAGGAGCAGAAGUGGCUCAUUGAGCCCACGGGAAAAGAGUAAGUGGUUCAUUAUUUUGCUUGUCACAUGCUUAUUUCGGUUGUUAUUUAUUUUGCUUGUCACAUGCUAAUAGUUCAUUCUUUUGCAGCAACUGGAUAUAUUCUAAAGGGGUUCGUAUUCCCAACAGCCUCAUCACCGUCUUGCUGAAGUUAUACUGGCCGGGGUUGUACUGUCCGGAUCCAGUCAGGCAGCCGGACCGUCGGGUUUUGGCCACGAGCUAGGACCACUGGGAAGCGGCCCUCCACGCGGACCAUGAGACCCACGCCAAGGCCGUGAUCACUACUUUCUGGGUGAGUUCUCUUCAGAAGCACAAGUCCAUUCUAGUUUCAUGAAUGAUUUAACUCAUGGCUUCUUCCAUUCUUGUUUCAUGCAUGAUUGUAGAAAUUCUAUCGAGUUCUUCCGGAGCACAGGCUAGAGCGGACCAGAUCGUGCUGCGCCAAUGCAAGAAGAAGGCCCGCCAGAUGCAGUACGAGGUGCGCUAUGUGGCCAUCUCCACAUACUACCACAACGUUCUUGGUGUGAAGAUGACCAAGGAAGAAGCGCGGAGGAUGGGCAUUACCUUGGAGAGGCCCGAGUUCUUGGCGGUAAGUAUAAAAGAUUUUUCAUUAUGCUUUCAUAUAUUAUGCUUUCAUUAUGCUUUCAUUACCUUGUGGUACAUUAUGCUUUAUGCUUUAUGCUUCCAUAACACCAAUUUGGACACACCUACAUGCCAUUAUGCUUUUAUUAUGUAGGUGUGUCCAAAUUGGUGUUAUGGAAAAGACGAGUCCUGGGCGGCAUUGGUGGAUCUUUGGUGUGAUGAGGCUGGAGCCUGGGCGGCUAUGAGAACCAAAAAUAAGGCUAACUGAGAGACGGAGGGAGUACAUGCUCAGGGAAACCGAAACCACUAUCUCCACAAGACAGUUAAUGUAUGACUAACCCCAUUAAACAUUCUUCUUCUUCUAUUUACCAUCACUUUCUUAUGUAUGACUAACCUCUGUUUGGUGGUGCAGGAGGAGAAACUGAAGCGACCGCUCUCACACAUGCAGGCGUGGGAGAUCGCCCAUACGCGGAAGGACUCCAAGCCUGCCGAGCCCAAGUACUACGGCAAGAAGACCGCGGGGAGGAAGAAGGCCUACUCCGAAGCGUAUCUGAAGUUACAUCCUGACACACUGACCCCAUUGCGGCGCCUCUGGACGACAGGGCGGUGGUGAGCAUGGGGCCCAAGGAGCACGGUCGGGAGGCGGUUCUCGAUGCUGUGAUCACUCCUAGUAUCUCCUACACACAGCUUCGUCGGAUCGACCCGAGCCUGAGCCAGCGCACGAGCCAGCCAGUGACCAGUGCACAGUCCCUCUUUCAGGAGCAACAAUCUGUAAGUAUUUUCCCUCUUAUCUUCAUUGCUCACUUUAUUUUCCGCAUUUAGUAGUUUUAUGAGUUCCAUCAUGUCAUACCGUAGGCCUACCUGGAGUACACACGCCAGGAGACCAUGGCGUGGCAUCAGAGGCUUUAUGAACACCAACUGUAGAGGGAUAGCCAGAUGCAGCAGGCUUUUCAGGAAAUGGCGGCCGAUAGGUGUCCUCAGUUCCCUCCAGCACAACCAGUGCUGCUGAGCUUUGAGGAGUUUGUGGCACAGAACGCUGGCCCCUCGCCGGUUAGUUCAUCCCCAAUCUAUUCACCCAAAGCAUGUCAUGCCUUUCAACACAGUCAUAUAUCCCGUUAAUAUAUGUUUUCAACAUCCAGGGAACAGGUGGAUCUACCGUUGGCGGUGGUCUUCGCAGCACUCCGGAGACACGGAGCCCGACCACUCCGAUCCACGGAGGCGGAGGCGGAAGUGGAGGCGGUACCGCUGCCGCUAGCAGUGACGACCUGGGCUUCGGCGGUCUUGGCGGUGACGACCUCCGCGGUGCUCGAUGAUGCUUGAGAUGUGAUGAUGAUGCUUGAGAUGACUUGUGUGUGUUGAUGAUCAUUUAGAUGACUUGUGUGAUGAUGCUUAUGCUUAUGCUUACGUUCGUUGAUAUGUUUAUGCUUGUGUGAUGAUGAUCUAUUGUUGUGAUGAUGCUUAUGCUUACGUUCGUUGAUAUGUGCUGCUAAUAUGUGCUGUUAUAUAUGUGUUGUUAUUUGAAUUGAACUGAUUUGAAAACAAACAGAAAAAAGAAAAAAAUAAAUAAAAGCAAACUAUGCCGACGGCUAUGCCGUCGGCAUAGGGCUGGCGUGAGCUCCCAGCAGCUGACACGUGGCACCUAUGCCGACGGCAUUGCCGUCGGCAUAGUUUAAAAGCUAUGACGACGGCUAUGCUGUCGACAUAGGUGCCACGCGGCAGCUGCUGGGAACUCUGUAUGAAGGAGUAUGCCGACGGCUAUGCCGUCGGCAUAGUUCGAAACUAGGCCGACGGCCUAGCCGUCGGCAUAGCCCUGGUCCAUGGCCAACGACAGGCCGCCACGUGGCACACCUAUGCCGACGGCCAGGCCGUCGGCGUAGGUUUUGACUAGGCCGACGGCCUGGCCGUCGGCAUAGGUGUGCCAUGUGGCGGCCUGUCGUUGGCCAAACUUGACGGCGGCCGCCAUUAGGCGUGAUAGUUGCCGACGGCCGGGGCCGUCGGCAUAGAUGUACGAGCCCCGUCGGCGUAUCAUAUAUGCCGACGACUUUUCUAUGCCGACAGCCUCCCUGGCUGUGCCGAUGCAUAUGUUGCCGACGGCCCUAUGCCGACGGGGGCCGUCGGCAUAGGUCUAUCCCGACGGGACUCAGGCCUAUGCCGACGGCCCUGGCCGUCGGCAUAGGGGGCGAUUCCGGUAGUGGAUGAAUAGUAUCAUGUGAUAAAAAGCUCCAGAUUUGUCUUUUUUGCACAGCCCUCGUUUUAAUGUAUUUUGCUCUGAAAAUUUACACACAUGUGUGUUAUGCCUUCAUGUAUAUCUAUGUUUUUUUCAGAACGUUUUGAAAUGUAGAAAAUAUGAAAUUUGACGAAAUUCAAAAUUUUCAAAACCGAGCUCCAUGGAGCUCAACCUCCAAAGACAAUAUCUGCUCCAUUCCAUAAUAUAAGGCGUUUUUGCAAGCUAACGUCUUAUAUUGUGGGAUGAAGAGAGUAUAAACUAGUAGAAACAAUCUCAUGAAACGACAACAUGUUUUUGGGAAUCUUGCGGAAGAAUUGUCAUUUUUCCUUUGUCUUUCUUGAGCAAUGGGCAUGCACUCUAUCUUUCUAUUAAGUAGAAAAAAGAAUUAACAAGUUAACCACGAAAACUGGCUGAAACGGAUAGAAAGCAAUAUUGUAUGAUCGUGUCCCAUGGACCGGGGUGGGUGGGUGCUUGAAUAGUCCCAGUUAUAUCCUUCACAAGACCUAUACCUGCAGGUAUAUAACAAAGAAGAACGUGAAAGCCAAACUUGAGAAAAGUAGAGUUAGGGAUAGAGAUUGCAAAGAUGGUGACGGUUUCACGAGACUCAUUAGUUGGUGAUAUCCUACCACUCAUUGCUGGAGGUUCAGGCACGAAGUCCUAUGGUGCACAAAGACCACAGUAGGGUCGCCCACAAAGAGCCCACAAAGUGCAUGCCAACCUAUUCCACCAUGACUUGCUAGCACAAAGGUUAAAGACUCACUCAGGGUUGAUGUUGCAUGAAGAAAAUGAUCAUCGGGCUUCAUACACACUCUGAAGCUCUCAAUCGACUCGUAAGUCCUAACCAUCUAGGAGGUGCAGACCCUACAAGAGUAACAAGCAAACACAGAGUCACUUGGAUGAACUUCCCAAAAGACCUCCGGUCAAUCUCUCUCAAGAACCCAUAUGAUCACAAAGAUAGGCUUCAUAAAGAGAGAUGAAGAUCAAAUGUGGGGUUGAAGAAAGGUGAUCUGGCCUUUAAACACUCAAUUAUCCGAUCUCUUGGUUUUCGCGAAAAACUCAAACAACGUCUCGAAACAACCUCACACAUCCCCAUCCAAAGAGGUGUCGGGUCUAUUUAUAGAAAAAGCAUAAAUUUGGUUGCCAUUGUGAAAAAAAGUAACUAGUCUCGGUAGUACAGACAUGUUCAAAAAUUAAACCACCAGAACGGAAACACGCAUUCCCGCAAUGAUCAGAAGCCAAAUGCUCGGAGGGUACCAGGAUGUCCACUAAGCCUGUAAAAAAUUCAUUACCCAAAUGCAUCGGAAACAAAAACCUCUAAGGUACUAGACCAAAAAGGUACUCCAUCCGAUCCAAAUUAAUUGACGCCACUUUAGGACAACAUUUUCGUGAAGGGUAGAACAUGCUAGGAAGAAUUGGAGAAAAUAACCAUCUGAAGUAUGUUGGGGUCGACAUAGUAGUUCUUAUGAGAAAUUGGUGUGGAAAUGGCUAAGUCUUUGCUCGGAAGUACCAGAUGGAUUCGGUUGGAUAGUUAAUAGAGCUUCUAGAAAGAAGUAUGCGCAAUUGGAAAAAUGUGUUAAUGAUUUUCAUUAGCUCUAUGGAAAGAUACUCAUUAGUCUCUUUGUNNNNNNNNNNNNNNNNNNNNNNNNNNNNNNNNNNNNNNNNNNNNNNNNNNNNNNNNNNNNNNNNNNNNNNNNNNNNNNNNNNNNNNNNNNNNNNNNNNNNNNNNNNNNNNNNNNNNNNNNNNNNNNNNNNNNNNNNNNNNNNNNNNNNNNNNNNNNNNNNNNNNNNNNNNNNNNNNNNNNNNNNNNNNNNNNNNNNNNNNNNNNNNNNNNNNNNNNNNNNNNNNNNNNNNNNNNNNNNNNNCCCUUUUUUUGCCUUUGUAGUUUCAUUUAUAUGUGGUCUUUUUGUUUUCAUAGAUAGUUUCCACGUAUAGUUAUUUUUUGCUUUCUUGUUUAUACCUUGUACUACAUUAUUGAAAAUUAAUAAAAAUAUACGCAACAUAAUCAUGCUGUUUCUUGUAAAAAAAGUAUCAGAUGGAUUUGGUUUCAGAGUAUUGGACCUAGAAUGAGACGCUAAACUGAAGCAAACCAAGAGGUGAUCAGAAAUGCUGGAGAAAAUGAUUGGAGGUGCGGAUCUAACAAAGAUGGUUUCAUAGGAUGACAAUUCGGUGGUACAAGAGAAAAAACUCGGCGGUUCGGAAGCGAACGAAGAACAGGGUGCGCUUAGAUAAAACACCCAUUCCUCACAUGAUCGGUAGUACCUGGUAGAAAUACUCAAAAUUACCAAGGGUGGUGAAAAGAGAGGAAUUUGAGUGGAAGGAGUUGAAAACUUGGGAAUUUUGGUUGAGGAUCUUGAUUUGGAGUUCACCCAAGAUAUUUUCCUUGGUCCCCCAUUGACAUUAUGAUUGUCCUUAAACUCAUGGUGAAUGUUGGAUUCACCUAACGCCUAUAAAGAUGCAAACUAUGAGGUGAAGGAUCGAAUUGCCAUUAAUUGCCACAACCCAACAAGGGUAUAAGAUGCACUUUGAAUCUCCCCCUAUUUGUUGAUCGAGGACAACACAAUCAGAUAUAGAAUGAAAUGAUUAAGCAUGUGAAAGUUCAUGUACUUAUUAUAAGUUUUGAGCUCCCCUAUUUGUGUGCACUAUUAAAUUUUGCUUUUGGAAUGCAAGUGCUGUUACACAUUAUUAGAUAGUGUGGGAACAACAAGUAUAUGACACAUUCCAUGGGAUGCAUUGUGUGUACGAAUGAUAAAGAUGGGAAAGACCAUGGGUAAAAAUUUAGGCACAUCUUUCGCGGUUAGGACAAUUGAAACGCCAGAAAUGACAUGACCUAAGUGAUGGUUGUUCCACAACGGUACAUCUGUGAUCUAUGGCCGGCGAUUCUAGAUUAUUUUUUAGCAAAUAUCAAUCCCAUUUUAUUAAGAAAUGGUAAUUUUCAUAGGAAUGGUUACAAUAUCAUGCGGUGUCACUAGCCUACACCAAGGGGCGAAGCAUGUUUUGCCAAAUUAUGGGCUUUGUCAUUGUUGUUCCGGCUUCUACGGACAUAGCUGCAUUCAUCAAACUCCAAAGCUUUGGAUUUGAUCUCCCUGAUGAUGGAGGCGAUUCUAGAUGGCCCUUCUGAGAUGGGAGUGUAUUUCUACUGGCCCGCUAAAGACGUGCCGCCAAUGAUGACCCAUUCUGUACAAGUGAGGCCUGAUUUGGGCGAGAGAGUGGGCUCUUGUUUUUGUGCCAUGGCUUGUUUCAGUUAUUGUCAUUGUAACACUCUAGAAUGAGGCAAAGGUUUUGCCUCCAACUUGAAAAUUUUCCACCAAGACUGGAUGGUUUGAGAACAUGAGCACCUGUCAACACAUUGCCUGGCUUAAGGUGGCCCCAAAUGUGAUGCGUGGGUAGCUAAAUAAUAGGAACCGAGGAAGUGCCAUUGCCACUAACCGAAAGGUCGUUGGCUAAAUGGAAUGGAGCAAUUGAUCUACGUCGCCCUUUACACUUUCUCUCUAUUAUCACAUAUGAACACGGUGGGCACUAGCCCGUCGGUGAUGGUGAGUAGAGUUUCUCUAUACUUCGUCUUAAAGGUGGCAUAAUACCGUAAAUGGAUGGGGUGUGUAGUGUAAAGUGAGUUAACUCAUAGGUCAAGGAAAAGGGUCGAAGGUCUGCUUUCAGGUCUGAUCAAAUGCUCUGAAGAUAGAUACUGAACUAGACAUACAGGUGUACCACUCCAGUCAAAACCUGAAUACCUUUUAAAUCUACAUUCAACUCUUUACGAAAUGUUUUAUGUUUCUUUGGCUUCGUCAAUAAAAUGGAAAAACUAGUUAUGCUCAACUUUUUUGCUGUUCUUUAACCAGUUAACAAAUGUGACAUGCAGCACAGCUUAACAAACCUUAUCAUGGCCGGGCAUGCAGUCCACCAACCCUGCUUUUUUCUCUGGGUUGUGACACUUGUAGUUUCAGAGGCAGUGCGCGUGGCUUUGUUGUGCUAGUAAUUGAGUUGCUUUUCAGUGCGUGCGCCGACUAAACUUGCCAAUCCUAUGCACUUUCAGAUCUCCUUUUUUCGUAGUGCGUGGACCAUUAAUUUCUGCUUCAUCGUCAUCAUGUCUUCCAUGAACGCAAUGUGAUGUGCCGCUGAGGAAAAGGCACAUCGUUGCACACUUGUACUGCAGUAGCCGUGGCCAUUUGGCCCGUGCCUGAACUCUCUUGAUCGAAAUUCGAAAGCCUAUAAAUACCACUGAUCUCACCCCCAGACACUCACACCAUCCAAAGCCAUCUUUGCACAAGCCACUAGCUCACUACUCGCUACCAGUCGAUCUACAUUUCUUCGUCAGAGUUUCAGAGACGUCAUGAAGUACAUGGGGCAGCUGGUGGUGGCGCUCCUGGCCUUCUGGGCGGUGGUGCUGAUGAUGGCGCCGGCCGGCGUGGACGCGGCGACGUGUGACGCGCUGCAGCUGAGCCCGUGUGCGGGCGCGAUCGUCGGGAAUGCGGCGCCGACGGCGGUGUGCUGCAGCAGGAUGAAGGCGCAGAGGCCGUGCAUGUGCCAGUACGCGCACGACCCUAACCUGAAGCAGUACGUCAACUCCCCCAACGGCAAGAAGGUCCUGGCCGCCUGCAAGGUGCCCGUGCCAUCAUGCUAGAUCGACGUCUAUGAUCGAGACGAGAACGAGAGCCCAGCCAGUGGCAUCUCUCUGCACCGCUGCAUGUGCUGCAUGUGUUGAUGUGUGAGUGUUUGGUUGUCGUGAGUAGCAACCCCGAUGUAUCUGUAUCUGAAAUUCUGAAUAAAUGCAGUGCUUGCGUGAGCUCCACUAGGUAAGAGAUUGGCGUUGAUGGGAGAAAGAACUGUUCGUUCAAACGGCCGGUCAUCAUAUGUGGCAUAUGUUUUUCUCGAACGGGCAUGUGAUGAGCUCAUUUUUUAAGACAAAUAUAAAAGGAUAAGCGCG
rnacentral:lncRNA from 1 species